rnacentral:rRNA from 1 species
GAUGAACGCUGGCGGCGUGCUUAACACAUGCAAGUCGAACGAUGAAGCCCAGCCUGCUGGGCGGAUUAGUGGCGAACGGGUGAGUAACACGUGAGUAACCUGCCCUUGACUCUGGGAUAAGCCCGGGAAACUGGGUCUAAUACCGGAUAGGAGCGCCUGUCGCAUGACGGGUGCUGGAAAGAUUUUUCGGUCAUGGAUGGACUCGCGGCCUAUCAGCUUGUUGGUGAGGUAACGGCUCACCAAGGCGACGACGGGUAGCCGGCCUGAGAGGGUGACCGGCCACACUGGGACUGAGACACGGCCCAGACUCCUACGGGAGGCAGCAGUGGGGAAUAUUGCACAAUGGGCGGAAGCCUGAUGCAGCGACGCCGCGUGAGGGAUGACGGCCUUCGGGUUGUAAACCUCUUUCAGUAGGGAAGAAGCGAAAGGACGUACCUGCAGAGAGCCC